CUUUCUAGGAGCACUUCUCAUCAGGAUCCCUUCGGGGGCCUGGUCAGAGGCCAGGACAUCAGCGAACGUCUGAUGCUGGUUGCUCAUGGGUGGAACGUUGAUUAUUCGGCACGGUCGGGACGGACCAGGCGCUAGUACUGCCCCUGCUGGGGGCGUGGAACGCUGAUCUGGUCGGACGGACCAGGCGCUAGUACUGCCCCUGCUGGGGGCGUGGAACGCUGAUCUGGUCGGAUGCCGGCCCCGGUGCAGCGCCGCGUGAUGUGGUGUGUGACGGGUGGUUGGUCGUUGUUU
rnacentral:misc_RNA from 1 species